rnacentral:rRNA from 1 species
UACGAAGGGGGCUAGCGUUGCUCGGAAUCACUGGGCGUAAAGCGCACGUAGGCGGCUUGUUAAGUCAGGGGUGAAAUCCUGGAGCUCAACUCCAGAACUGCCUUUGAUACUGGCGAGCUUGAGUUCGGGAGAGGUGAGUGGAACUGCGAGUGUAGAGGUGAAAUUCGUAGAUAUUCGCAAGAACACCAGUGGCGAAGGCGGCUCACUGGCCCGAUACUGACGCUGAGGUGCGAAAGCGUGGGAGGCAACAAGGAUA